GAAACUCCAGUACUUUGGCCACCUCAUGCGAAGAGUUGACUCAUUGGAAAAGACUCUGAUGCUGGGAGGGAUUGGGGGCAGGAGGAGAAGGGGACGACAGAGGAUGAGAUGGCUGGAUGGCAUCACCGACUCGAUGGACAUGAGUCUGAAUGAACUCCAGGAGUUGGUGAUGGACAGGGAGGCCUGGCGUGCUGCGAUUCAUGGGAUCGCAGAGUCGGACACGACUGAGCGACUGAACUGAACUGAACUGAAUGACAUAGGUUUCUAGUUUCUUCUUAGAAACUAUCCAUAUGUUCAAGGUAACCGUGUUUAAUUCUCUCUGUUUCCAUAUCCUUCGAUAUUAAGAACAUAGUACUUUGAGAUUUUGGUAGUUAUUUUGAUAAGAGAUUCUAAAACAGAAAUGCAUGAUAUUUUCCUACAGUUUUUACUAAAAAGAUUACAAAGAAACCUUUAAAAUAGGGAAAGAAAGCUGAUUCUUUUAGAACUAAAGUUGAUAAACAAUACAGACUAAUGUGAGACUUUGUUUUCAUGGAAGAAAAAUGAGAAUGUUGAACUUACAAACUUUUAAACAAGAAAGGUGUUUUUUUUCCCUUUCCUGUCUUUCAAGUGCAUUUGCUUUCUGUUCCUUAAUAUUUGUUUAUAUUGUUUUCAAUAUUGUGUUUUGCUAAAGAACAAAUUCGACAUCAAAAACUACUGCUCUAGCAACAACAUCUACUUUCACUUUGUUUUCUUUCCGUUUUCCCUCCUUUAUGUCCUUGUUUCUCUUGUGGGCUUGUUUUUUACCCUCUCUGAGAUCUGUCAUUUUUUCAGUAGUGCUUCCCUUUUAGUUUUGAAACCGUUACUGUUUUCACUAAAUCGUUAGUGUUCUCAGUCAUCUGAAAGCUGGCAAGUGAGCACAGGGCUUGUAUAGUGUCCCUUCUUUAGAAAACGUUAAGGCUUUUGGAUGAAGGAGGAGAAAAGAACUUCCUGCAAAAGAUCAAAGGCAUCAUAUUGAAUAAUGUGAUGACAAUCUGUGUCUUGAUUUUUCUCUCAGUGGAGAUUCAACAUUGACAUUUAAAAUGUAAAAAACAUCCCUUUAAGAAUUUAAUUGAGCAAGAAUAAAAGGUCAGAGAUCACAAGAUGAGGUUGUUUUGGAUGAUGGAAUACCUUGGAAUGAAAUGAAUGGCCAGAAACUUUGUUAAAAUGUUAACACUGUUGAAGUAUUUAAAAUUACAGUCAUCAAAUGCACAAAACUCCUUUACUGCUGCCCAGAUGUGGCUUCCACUGAGUACAUGAUUGUUUAGACACUCUCAGUGAAUUUCUGCUACAGACAUUUAUUUUUUCUGAUGUUUGAGUGAUCCUGUAACAGGAAAUCUCAGUACUGUAGCUAAAAAGAAGAAGAAAGAAAAGAGAAACGUAAACUUUAAAAACUAAUAUUAAAAACAAAGACCAUUAUAAUAAAAAUCACUUAAAAUAUGAGAAGAUAAUUAUUAGUAAGACUAAAAGAAAAUUUCUGUAAGGGCCCACAUUAAGCACAUUACAAAAAGAAUACAAAGCAGAGUCUUUGUCUGUGGCUUUAGGAAUUCAAGCUUUUGGCAAGAUAUUUUUUAAGUCCAUUUGUCUAUACAAAAAACUUUAUCCUGGACAAAGAAUUGUGUGCUUUAUAAUCAUUUUAAGUGCCUGCUUGUGUAUCAAGUGCCCUCCAAAACACUCGACAAAUUUAUAUUUAUCUAGCCCCCGAGUGACAUAACGGUGUGUAAUUGAAUUAUUUGAGAACUUAAUAGCCUUUGUGAUUUUUCCCAUGGGAAUUCUUCACACAGAAUCUAGGUUUAUUUUUUCUAUUUACUAAGGCACUGCAUAUUUGCUGGAUAUUGAAGUUUAUCCCUGGGAAUUCAAUUAUGCAAACAAUUUGGAGUUAUUCAGUCUUAAGUCCAUGUCUAAAUGAAUUCUUGCUCCCCUUGUGUUUUAUAACUGCACCUGUUUUCCUUUACAACAUAUCACAUGUUGAAUAUAAAUAAAACCCGUAUAAACAUAAA
ensembl:lncRNA